CCUACGGGUGGCAGCAGUGGGGAAUAUUGCACAAUGGGGGAAACCCUGAUGCAGCGACGCCGCGUGAGUGAAGAAGUACCUCGGUACGUAAAGCCCUAUCAGCAGGGAAGAAAAUGACGGUACCUGACUAAGAAGCCCCGGCUAACUACGUGCCAGCAGCCGCGGUAAUACGUAGGGGGCACGCGUUAUCCGGAUUUACUGGGUGUAAAGGGAGCGUAGACGGCAGUGCAAGCCUGGAGUGAAAGCCCGGGGCCCAACCCCGGGACUGCUCUGGAAACUGUGCGGCUGGAGUGCAGGAGGGGUAGGCGGAAUUCCUGGUGUAGCGGUGAAAUGCGUAGAUAUCAGGAGGAACACCGGUGGCGAAGGCGGCUUACUGGACUGUAACUGACGUUGAGGCUCGAAAGCGUGGGGAGCAAACAGGAUUAGAUACCCUUGUAGUC
rnacentral:rRNA from 1 species